GAUACCCUUACAAUCAGUCACAAGGUCGUUUUUUAGGGAGACGAGGAUACUCCAGAGGACAUGGAAAUCAAAGGGUUCCAUACUCAAACAGAGGCCAAGGAAGAGGCUACGGCCAGAAAAAAUUCAACAAGUAUUAAAGUCAGAUCAGCAAGGUGUUGAUGAAGAUCGAAGACGAUCAGUCUGACAGUACAGGUUGACAGGAACUGGAGGAACCAGAUACAGUCGUCAGAUAUUCUAUCAGCUUAUUUACAUGUAGAUUACAAAACAUGUAUGGAAUUUUUAUUGGAAGUAUUGUUGAUGUUUGAGAUACCGUUGGAUAUGUCGGUUUGAGGAACUAAUAGACUUUAAACAGAUGGAUAUUCUAGUAAUGUGUUGAUGAGGAACUUGAACAUUUAUCGGUUAAUGCUUAUACUGUGUUUGUGGAAUAGCGAUAGAACUGAACAUUUUGAUAGUUAGAACUUCAUAGUAUUUUAUGCAAUUUUGUUGUAUAAUUGUGGGAUAUUAAAAUAUUUAAAAAACA